rnacentral:rRNA from 1 species
GAUGAACGCUGGCGGCGUGCCUAAUACAUGCAAGUCGAGCGAACGGACGAGAAGCUUUCUUCUCUGAUGUUAGCGGCGGACGGGUGAUUAACACGUGUAUAACCUACCUUUAAGACUGGGAUAACUUCGCGAAACCGUAUCUAAUACCGGAUAAUAUUUUGAACCUCAUUGUUCAAAAGUGGUAUACGGUCUUUCUUUCACUUAUAGAUUGAUCCGCGCUGCAUUAGCUAGUUGGUAAGGUAACUGCUUACCAAGGCAACGAUGCAUAGCCGACCUGAGAGGGUGAUCGGCCAAACUGGAACUGAGACACGGUCCAGACUCCUACGGGAGGCAGCAGUAGGGAAUCUUCCGCAAUGGGCGAAAGGGUGACGGAGCAAAGCCGCGUGAGUGAUGAAGGUCUUCGGAUCGUAAAACUCUGUUAUUAGGGAAGAACAUAUGUGUAAGUAACUGUGCACAUAUUGACGGUACCUAAUCAGAAAGCCACGGCUAACUACGUG